UCAAUGAUAUUAAUGAACUGUUUUGUUCUGUAUGUUUAGUUCUGUUUUGUUUUGUAUGUAUUACAUUGAAAUAAUGUGUUCUACCGAUUCUGGUUCAUUACAGUGUAUGCAUUUCUCUGUCGGAUGCUUACCUAUUUUAUACAAUGUAUCAUUCAGUCCUGUAUGACCAAUUCUUAAGCGUGUUAUAAUGGUUUCUUCUUUCCAAUUCUAGCCCCCCAUUCUCCCAGCAGCAACGUGUUUCUCUAUUCUGUACAAGUGUCUACCUGUUUCACCAUUGUCCCAGUGUUCCUGCCAGAUUUUGUGCAUAUGAAAUUAUCCUACAAACACACUACGUAAUGACAACGUUACACUUUGGUCGCAAUUUGGUAAGUCGCAACAUUACCAACAGGUGACGUUGUGACAACAUUGCUCUAUGGUCGCAAAAUAACCUGACCUCAUGGAGACUGUUCUGCAACGUUGCAGUAACGUUAUAGAAUUACGUAAAUACGAUGUAAUUUAAUAACGUAACGAUGACGUUAUAUCACAGUCCUCAUACUUACUUAAUUUGAAACGUUACUGGUAGGUUGUCAGAACGUUUGUAAAUGACGUAUUGGUUUACAGUAAUAUGUCUAUCUGUCACGUUAUAUCCAAUGCAGGGUUUAUUAUUAUUAUUAUGAUGAUUAUGAUUAUGAUGAUUAUUAUUAUUAUUAUUAUUAUUAUUUAUUUAUUUAUUUAUUUAUUUAUUUAAAUAUAGGAUAUGAUGGAUAUGCAGGUAUAGGGUUCUAGGGUGGCUGACAUGGAUAGGGAUUUUAUAGUAGGACUGGGUGUAAAGCAUGGAGGAUAAAAAAUAGCUUAGGGUGAAGGGAUUUUUGAGUGUAAAUCUAUUGUCUGAUACACACUCCGGAGCAGAAGGUGGCGGUAAUUCACCAAUAAGCUGUGUACACCCGCUGUAAAACAAGAAGAAGACGGUAUAUCCAAUCACAUGCGCAUGUUGCUGUGACGUGCUCUUGGAAGAAGGUCGUUGUGAUUUCAAAUUCUCCGUGGGAAAAUCUGGGUUUGACGGCGUUCAAGAGCAGAGUUCUCUACAUUUGGCCCAACAGCUCAAAUGGAAACUAGAGCACAAGAUCAGAAUGAAGCUCCCACACGUGGCCUUAUGACUGUUGCCCCAGUGAAGAACCCGAGGUCCAGCCUUCCCCACUCAAGACAUGCCUGAGACAAGAGUGACUGUAUUCCAAGUUGAUCCAAGGUGAUCCUAACUUAAAUGUAGUUCACCGCUUGAAAAAGACAAAAAUACUCAACACUAUUAAUGUUGAAAUCAUUGGUCUAUGGUUAUUACUGUCCUGAAACGACCCUUUGCCCUUUUUAUUUUUUUGUAUCUAGUUUUGUAUGUUUGUCUCAUCUUCUGUACCAUAAUUAUGCUUGCAAAUAUUGCCUACCUAAAAAUGUAACUUGAACCUGAUCUCAAUGGUAUUCUAUACAAUGACAAUAAAGGCUUUCUAUUCUA